UUACUUAUUUGUACAAAUUUAUUUGUAGGUGGACAGGAGGUACAAGCACUACUGCGAUCAAAUGAAGUGCGUGACGUCAUCGUUCGAGGCGGUGGCCGGAGGCGGAUCCGCGGCGGCGUACUCGGCCCUCGCGGCGAAGGCGAUGUCGCGGCAUUUUCGGAGCCUGAGAGACAGCAUCGUGAGCGAGAUAAAGGCCACGAAGAGAGGCAUGGGGGAGAAGGACGCGGCCGCCGCGGGACUCGGGGAGACGCCGCGGCUGCGCCUUCUCGACCAGACGCUGAGGCAGCAGAAGGCGCGGCAGCAGAUGAACAUGAUGGAGAAUCACCCGUGGCGGCCCCAGCGCGGCCUCCCCGAGAGAUCCGUCUCUGUGCUCCGUGCCUGGCUCUUUGAACACUUCCUCCACCCGUAUCCGAGUGAUGUAGAUAAGCACAUUCUAGCCCGCCAAACGGGCCUCUCGAGAAGCCAGGUCUCCAACUGGUUCAUCAACGCGAGAGUGAGGCUAUGGAAACCCAUGGUGGAGGAGAUGUACUUAGAAGAGCUCAAAGAGAAAUCCACCGCAGAUUCUGACGAGCGUAACCAGACACCGGAGGAGACAAAGCCGAGCCACGAGCAGCUGGUGCGAAGAGAUUCCGAGUGCCUAUCUUCCAUCAUCAACAACGAACCGAAAAAGGGAAAAACCCUCCAAAACGAGCAGCAACAUUUCAGCGAUUCGUACGGGGCAAUGGAGCUCGAUUUCUCAUCCUAUUCCAGCGGCAGCGUGUCGCUGACGCUGGGGCUGCACCAGCGCUGCGAAGGCGAAGGUGGAGGGGUCAGCCUAGCGUUCGCCACACCGGCGCAGAGCUCGCUUUUUUACCCUAGGGAUCAAAAUCAGAUGGAGGAGUGCCAAACGGCGCCGUUUUCGCUCUUGGAUAGUGAGAAUCAGAGCUUGCAGUACCGGAAUUUGAUGGGAGCGCAGCUGCUUCAUGACUUAGCUGGAUGAAUUCAUCAGAAUAUAUAAUGGAUUUUUGCAUUUUCGGUGAAGUUAAGAGAAUUUGGUGGGGUGAUGGUGAUGGAGAAACCUAUAAAUUGUGACAUGUUGUAUACAUAAAAUACUGGGAUAGGAAACAUUUAUCUGCAAUUUGGAGUUAGUGUGUAAAUAUUAUUGCUCUCAAUCGAUUGAGCAUAUACUAUACAUGAAGAGUUGUUUGGAGAUUCGACAGCGAGAUUUAAAUCUGUGUCAUUUUUGUUCCAAUUUUGACUCUUGUAAACUAGCAAUGAGGCAGCGCAAGGGAAGCCAAACAACCUGUCCUUGAGCAUGUAGAGGGAAAUAUGUCAGUAGUUGUGCGUUGUGGCACCCAUUAGAUCAUCAUUCAAGGAGUCGUUUUUGCAUGCUUCUUUGGUGUUUGUCAGGUCAAACAAUGACAUAAAUGUCUUGAAUCA